rnacentral:rRNA from 1 species
GACGAACGCUGGCGGCGUGCUUAACACAUGCAAGUCGAACGGUAAGGCCCUUCGGGGUACACGAGUGGCGAACGGGUGAGUAACACGUGGGUGAUCUGCCCUGCGCUUCGGGAUAAGCCUGGGAAACUGGGUCUAAUACCGGAUAGGACCACUGCCUGCAUGGGUGGUGGUGGAAAGCUUUUGCGGUGUGGGAUGGGCCCGCGGCCUAUCAGCUUGUUGGUGGGGUGAUGGCCUACCAAGGCGACGACGGGUAGCCGGCCUGAGAGGGUAACCGGCCACACUGGGACUGAGAUACGGCCCAGACUCCUACGGGAGGCAGCAGUGGGGAAUAUUGCGCAAUGGGCGCAAGCCUGAUGCAGCGACGCCGCGUGAGGGAUGACGGCCUUCGGGUUGUAAACCUCUUUCAGCACCGACGAAGCGCAAGUGACGGUAGGUGCAGAAGAAGGACCGGCCAACUACGUGCCAGCCGCCGCAGUAA